rnacentral:rRNA from 1 species
ACCCAUGUCCAGGCUGAAGCUGCCGUAAGAGGUAGUGGAGGGCCGAACGCACAUCCGUUGAAAAGGGUGGCGAUGAGGUGUGGGUAGGGGAGAAAUUCCAAUCGAACCCGGAGAUAGCUGGUUCUCCUCGAAAUAGCUUUAGGGCUAGCCUCAUGCAAGUCUUACGGAGGUAGAGCACUGAAUUCCUAAGGGGGCGUCAAAGCUUACCAAGGGAUAUCAAACUCCGAAUGCCGUGUAGAUGGUGCAUGGGAGUCAGACUAUCCGAGAUAAGUUGGGUAGUCAAAAGGGAAAGAGCCCAGACCUACAGCUAAGGUCCCAAAAUGUGUGUUAAGUGGAAAAGGAUGUGGGAUUUCGAAGACAACUAGGAUGUUGGCUUAGAAGCAGCCAUCCAUUAAAAGAGUGCGUAAUAGCUCACUAGUCGAGAGGUCCUGCGCCGAAAAUGUCCGGGGCUGAAACACACUACCGAAGCUUGGGAAUUGACGAAUGUUAAUUGGUAGAGGAGCAUUCUUAACGGGGUGAAGCUGUACCGGAAGGAGCAGUGGACUGUUAAGAAGAGAGAAUGCCGGAAUGAGUAGCGAGAGGAAGGUGAGAAUCCUUCCGGCCGAAUAUCUAAGGUUUCCAGAGUAAAGCUGAUCUGCUCUGGGUAAGUCGGGGCCUAAGGCGAGGUCGAAAGACGUAGUCGAUGGAUAACAGGUAAAGAUUCCUGUACUGUAUCAUAACAGAACUGUGGGGACGCAGACAGAGAGCAUAAGCCGGGAAUGGAAAGACCGGUACAAGCGAGGUAGGAGUGCAUCAGGCAAAUCCGGUGCACAAUCUGAAGACGUGAUGUGGGGCGUAAAGCCGGAAGUAUGUGAGCUGGCUGCCAAGAAAAGCCGCUAUUGUUUAUGAUAUACCCGUACCGUAAACCGACACAGGUGGAUGAGGAGAGAAUCCUAAGGCCGACGGGAGAAGCAUUGUUAAGGAACUCGGCAAAAUGACUCCGUAACUUCGGGAGAAGGAGUGCCAUGUAAAAGUGGCCGCAGAGAAUUGGCCCAAGCAACUGUUUAGCAAAAACACAGGUCUAUGCAAAACCGUAAGGUGAAGUAUAUGGGCUGACGCCUGCCCGGUGCUGGAAGGUUAAGAGGAGAGGUUAGUCGUAAGGCGAAGCUUUGAACUUAAGCCCCAGUAAACGGCGGCCGUAACUAUAACGGUCCUAAGGUAGCGAAAUUCCUUGUCGGGUAAGUUCCGACCCGCACGAAAGGCGUAAUGAUUUGGGCACUGUCUCAACAAUGCACCCGGUG